UCCCUAGUUUAUGUUUUGAUCAGAGUUGUGAUUAAAGAUUUUCAGAUUUCAAAGUGGGCCACGGCAUUCUUGAGUUUGGGAACCGCUGUUCUACAGUUAAUCUUACAUAGUAUAAAGAUAUUCUUAAAUUGUGAAGCAGUGUCAAAUAAAAAUUUGAAUGGCGCUGUUAAGAGAUUUUCUUAUUUUAUCUCCGUUUAUUACUGGUUUAAAUGGCUAUAGAAUGUUUUCUGAUCGUGCUUGUUCUAUAAAUAAAGAUAAUUAUCCUGAUAGCCUUCUUUGAUCAUUUCAGUAAGAAAAUAUGCAUCGGCGAGGACUCUUAAAUCAGAAGGAUAAUGGCAAAUUUUACAUUGAUACUGGAGGGGACAAAGUGGGACUUGACGUCAAAUAUGUCAAAGCCUUAAGUAAGUUGAAUGUUUGGAUUUUGUAAUCCUAAUUAAAAUAUGAAUAAGCUUGACAGAUGUUUUUUCUGUCUGUGUAUGAAAUAGGUCGCGGCAUCUUCACCUCGGCUCCAUUUGAUAAAGGAGAAGAAUAUAGAGGUUAACUAAUAAACCAUAAAGAAUGUCAGAGGAGACAGACUUUUUCUCCUUUACUGCGAAUGAGCUGACAUUCUAGCAAGAAGGAAGCGUGUCGUCCAGUAGAUGAGAGCUACCCUCUCUCUGAAGGUAUGCCAAGUUUGAUGGUAGAGCAUCUUUUUAAAGUACUUAAAUUGGACACAAAAUGGCACUGCUACAAGGUAUAGAAGAAAGAAGGCAAAACAAUAAUUAUUUUUGUGUGAUCGUUUAUGUCUACUUCGUGUAUCUUCCAGGAAAAAAUGGUGGGUCCAGAAGAGGGACAAAGAGAGCGUGGUCUAAAGUUGAGGUUCAAGCAGUAAUGCGGCACUUCAAAGACCCAUAUUCGUAAAGGUCACCUGGCCACCAAGAACGAAUGCAGUCACUGCAAGUUGGUGGAAGGACCCGUCUUGGAACAAAGAACUGUGCAAAAUGUCAGAGAGUUCGUCCGUAAUCGGAACAGCUGAAAAAAGACUGUAAACAAACAUACACUUAUUUUAUUUGUUCUACAUCCUUUUAUCCCACGGCACGGGCAGUCUUCUAAUCUGUUGACAUACAAAGGUAUACAAGCACAUGUCAUUCACCUCAUCAUAAUGUAAUAAUACUCUAAUACUGUCAAGAGACGUCAUAAAUUCUUAAUGGCUGAAAUCUUCAAGUUUGUACACGUUUUCCCCUUCAUUGUCUUGAGGUAAGUUUCCAUAGUGCGGUGAAAGAAAUGUUCAUUAUGUAUGUCUUGCCCAUCGCUCUGUCGUUCUUUUCGGUUGUUUGUUAAACAGGACUUGUUUUACAAAAGCACUAGUCUGGCUCCUCAGUUUGUAUGAUAAACGGACUAUAGUGCUUUUGUAUGAAACAAUUGUUUACAAAAGCACUAUCGUCCGUUUGUAUGAAACAAUUGUUUACAAAAGCGCACUAGUCUGGUUCCUUGUGUCCUGAGUGGGACAGUAGUAAAAAAAUAACCCCAGCUCGUUGUUAAAUGAAAGCCAGAGAUUGAAGCCAGGUUGUAGAGGCACUCGCUGAUUCCCUCUGCAUAGAUGGAUCUUUAGAUAGUAUAGAUCGAUUUCUACACAUACUGUCACUUUGGAGGGGCCUAAUUUGGCCAUCCGUUAACAUUAUUUUUUAUAUUAAAUUGAUGGUUCCAGUAAUGCUGUGUCCUGUCUGUGUGUAUUUAUGUUAAUGAGGUGGGCGGGAUCAUUGUCCCUUCAAAGACCCAACAGUGUUUUUUUGGUCCUUAUAAGUCAUACUUUGGUCAAAAUAGAAAUGUCUACCUAUACCACAGUAUAAUUAGGUUGCUGUGUAUGAGGUUGUGUAGUUUGUAUCUGAAAUCUAAAGUGAGCUGAGUGACUACAACCGGGCCUGUAUGGCGAAAAGUCCACCUAAUGCAUACCUGUGUGUGUGUGUGUGUGUGUGUGUGUGUGUGUGUGUGUGUGUGUGUGUGUGUUGGGUGCGCCGCUGAGCACAGGGGGGAGGAGCGGGAGUUACGCACACAGCAAGCACACGAACAGGAGAGAGGGAGGCGAGUCACAAGAGAGCAACGGACGUUGGUCUAUGAAUUGAUGAAGAACUGGCCAAAAUGAUUACAUGUGAUUUCCAACCAAAGCUGAGGCACUUGGUCUUGAUGUAAAUCUCAGUUUUUUUUUCUUGUGUGUAUAAAAUAAGUAUUUAUAUAAUCAUUUGAUAGUGGGGUUUUUUACAUUAGUAAUUCAUAUUGCGCAUAAUUUUACAUUAUUGUUGGUGAUAAAUUAAUUUAAGAAUCAGAAGAGCCAUUUGGGAGCCGAACGAGAUUCUCUAAAAAGAGCCGGAAUUCCCAUUGCUAGUAUGUUGUGUUCAAUUGUAUUUUGCAUGCUGCUGUUCUUCUAUUUUAUAAUCUUGUGUUUUCUUUUUGCUGUUUUCCUCAGUUGUUUUGUUUGCUGUGUUAAGUCAACGUGCCUGUUUUUUAUAAUGAUUUGUGCCUACCUUGGUUUUUAUUGUUUUCUCUAAUACAACCUUUUUUCUUAAUUACAACAAACAUGUCUCUGCCUUAUCCACAGUAACUCAUUUGCGUAGGUAUUUAAAUCUAUAUUUCUUGGGCUGUAAGUCCCCAGGUGGCGUCACAGUUACAUUGGUGGUUCUUGUUCUCAAUAACUGUUAGCAGGCUAAAACCACAAAACUUCAGAGACAGAUGUGCCUGGAGAUGAAGACCGAAUAUCUUGUUAGGCGCACAGCUAACUGGCACCCCAAGCAACCAGUCGUACCGUUACUAGCAGUCCCUUUAAGAGAGACAGUAGUUUUGUCCCAAUUUCGCUAGGCUGCAUCAUUAGGCUGCAGAUACGUCACUUCAGCUGCGACUCGCCUGUUCGCCAUUCAGUCGACUUCUCCAAACACGGUCGAGGAAUGCUGCCGAUUUGGAGGACACAUCGGGCAUACCCCAUCAUGCAAUGCGAGCCAAUGCGUUCGAAGGUGAGGUGACUAUCAAAGAUGAUGCCGAGGUGACAGACAGAGGCGUGCAAUGUUUUUGAGAUGGAAGAAUGCAGUCCUGGUGAUGUUAUUGAUGUGACGUUACAAAGGUGAGGUGACUAUCAAAGAUGAUGCCGAGGUUACGGAUGUGGGGGGAGGGAGACCGAGUGGAGUUUUCAAUGUUGAUGGCGAGGUUAUGGUGAGGGAUUUGGCAUCGAUGAUGAAAUAUCCUUUGUCACAGUUGAGUUUGAGAAAGUUUAUUUGUAUCCAGGAUUUAAUUUCACUGAGACAGUUGGUGAGGGUGGAGAUUGUAGCAGGGGUGAUGGAGGUAGUGGGAAAGUUGGAUGUCGUCGGCGUAGCAGUGGAAGCGGAGUCCAUGACUGCGUAUGAUGUUGCCGAGGGGAAGCAGGUAAAGGAUGAACAGAAGGGGGACCAAGCACCGAAACCCUGGGGGACGUCUUGGGACAAAGGGGCAGGGGAGGAGGUGCAGUUGUUGGUCAGUGAGGUAAGAUCUGAGCUUGGAGAGGAGAGUGCUGGUGAUACUGGUGGUGGAUUCAAGCAGUGUUAAUUUUGGCAGCUCUUUUUGAUUUUUGAACUCAGACAUUUUAGUCUAGUUUUAGUCAACAAAAACUAAACUAAAAUGUAAUUUGUUUUAGUCUAGUUUUAGUCACAUUUAUUAGCCAUAUUAAACUCCUUUUUUCCCCUUCUCAGGCCCAGGGACCCCCUGUGUUGUGUCUACAACUGCAUAAUAGUCUACCUUGCAGUACUUGGAUGUCCAUUAGAUGUCCCUCCUAGGACAGGUCUAUAGCAGGGGUCGGCAAACUUUUUGACUCGCGGGCCACAAUGGGUUGUAAAAUUUGACGGAGCCGGGCCAAGAACAAAUGGUUGAAGUGUUUGUGUGAGCGAAUAUAAAUAAAUAAACAUGUGAAAAAUCAUUAUAUGAAAGGAUUUGGAUUUUAACAAAUAGCAAACGAACGUACGGUCACGAUGUGGCGUGUUAACUGCAGUUGAAAUGCGUGAGGCUUCAGAACCUGCAAUGAGUUUAUUAUGUGAAGCCUGUAACGGACCGUCUCAUCCAGCCGAGGAAACGCUGCCUGCCGUCGCCAGAGAACAGAGCAGAAAGGUCCGCGUGGAUCUCUGCUGGCCGACAGUCUGUUCAACGGGUCUUCAUGUUUCUCUGAAGCAGCCUGCUAACAGUCAGCUAAACUAAUGAAGCGCACAUUCAAACUCGCCGAAGCGUAAAAUAGUUGUUGCGGCCCGUAGUCGGACAAGAACUACUGCUGCACCAAUUUGAACCCGUUCUGGGUUCGUGGAUGACGUCAUCAUGACACGUUAAUAUCCGCCGUAUGUGCAUGUCUGUUGUCUGUUAGCUGCGUAUGAAUUUAGGGGGAAAAAGUAUUGUGACUUCGUCAACCACCAACAUGUUCGUCUCGUCUCGUUAACGAAAGUUAGAAUAGAUUGUCAUAGUUUUUAUUUUUUAAGAUAGUUUUCGUCACGUCUUAGUCAUGGAAAAAAGGUUUGUUAACGAAAAAAGGGAGAGAAUUGAGUGGUUAACGAUUGUCGUGGUCGAUGGCUCCAGCAGCUUUGCAAAAGGCUGCGUGUAUUCAACCAAGCGGUUGCAGCAAACUUAUUAAGUACACCGUUCAGUUAACUUAAAGCCAUUUAAAAUAUAUUUCUGGAAGUGGUAAUGACAUAAGCCAUCCAACAUGAGCUAGGUGAAGGGAGAACAUUGAUGUUAGCUGAAUAUUACAUAGCAUUAAAAGUUGAUUACAAUUUCAAUGACCUGAAAAUGGUCAUCUCUCAGCCUGAAGUACAUCAUGCGGCGGGGAUGACCGUCUUCCAAAAUCAAAUAAACCUAAAAAGAGCGCAGAUGGUUUAUGAGCGACAUGAGAAAUUAAGUACAGCUGUUGACGCAAGCAGGAAGUCCCCCUGUAGGCCAGACCGUCUCAUUUUGUCGACCAGGUCUACCGAGAAGGCUGGAGAUUACAAGGAUCCAGUUUAGCGACAUUGAGACACUGCUAUUGUUAUGCUAUAUGGAGGCCAAAAAAAAAAGAUCUGCUUGUUCUGUACAGUAGGAUUUUAAUAAAAGUUGCAAAAUGAAGAUGGAAAUUUAUUUUUGGACACACUGGCAUUAAAACCUGAUUGUCAGAAAUAUUAAACCAUGAAGCAGAGAGAAAGUAGCCAAUCGUAUGCAACGAUUGUAUGUCACCAAUACCUUCCAGCUGUGCUUGAAAGUCAUUUUGACUUUAGGCAAUUUCACCAUGUGAGGAAACACACUUUCAAAAAGCCCCCCUGAAAAAACAGAUUAUUGAAUAAUUCAUGCCAUUACAUUAUUAAUCAGCAGUAGAUUUUCCUGAAUGGUUACUGUUGUCUCGCACUCUAUUGCUGUUCUUAGGUGACAAAAUGCUGCACUCAAAGCUUUUUAGAGGAUAUCUUAUGACGAGGAAGGGUCAAUGGAACUCUUCUGAACUUUUUAUGGAGGGCACAAUCUCAGCCGGUCCCCCCUCAUCAACCCAUAAUCAUCUUUUUAUAGUGGCUUUCUUUUGGGACUGUCUCAAAUCUACUUUGCUGUAACUCACAUUACGAUUGCCCGUCAUCCAGUUUUUAUUACUUCUCCAUUAGAGUAAAUGUUUAAUUCGUCCUUGUCGCUGCAAGACAUCUAAAGGGUUGUGGGCACUCAACUCAACAACAGCCUCUUUUUAGAGGGAAGGAGCCGAUAAGCUGACUUGUACUGUCAGUAUCAGUCAUCAGAGGGUUGUCUGCAGUGCAAAAGAUGACUUUAUCUGAUUUGUCAUCCAUACGGGGUGGUGCCAGCAUCAUUGCGCUGCCUGUGGUGAACGCUCUGCCUCGUGCAGGCUACCGUUUCUGUUUAGGUCACUAAAUCCUAAACUGACUUCAUUCCAGGACUCUGGAUUGUGGGCGACUGUGGGUGAGUGGGGCGCACGGUCGUCCUCCAAUCAGAGGGUUGUCGGUUCGAUCCCAGGCUAACCUGCAUGGUGUUGUGUCCUUGGGCAAGGCACUAAACCCAACAUUGCUCCUGUAGCUGUGACUACAGUGUGUGAAUGGUAGUUACUGAUGGCAGGUAUCACUGUGUAUGGUUCUCCUGUCAUCAGUGUAUGAAUGGGUGUGAAUGGGUGAAUGAUGUCAUGUAGUGUUAAAGCGCUUUGAGUGGUCAGAAGACUAGAAAAGCUCUAUACAAGUACACAUGACAUGAUUAAUGAUGAUUUCAUGUUAAUCAUGAAAUCAUGUUGGAAGUAGAGAUGCUCCGAUCAGGUUUUUUGGUACCGAUCACUGAAAUCAGCAUCCAGCCGAUCCGAUAAUACCGAUCACGGUGUUGAUUUAAGCAUUCUAUUUAUUGUGUAGCUUUAUUCAUGAAAUGAAUUAUUCAACAACAUUGGUUUUGUAUUUUAAGUAUUUAAAUUACGAGACGAGAGAGUAUCAUGAAUUGACAACCAUCCGUUUUAUUGCAGGGAACGUGCAACAUUCCAAUGUAGAAAAGCUCUCUCGCUUACUAUAAAAUGUGUAAAUAAUAAUAAAUAUUAAAACAAUAAUAAAAAUAUAAAUCUUUAAAUGAAAAUCACAACAAUAGAAUAACAUGUGCAACAUUCCACUCUCUAGAGGCUAUCAAUAGAAAUUGGAGCUUAUAGGAGGAGAUAACAGACAGAAUAAAGAUUAAAGGUGCACAGGAAGUCAGCAAUUAAACAAAACAUGUAUAUCUAUCUGUAUAGUGUCUCACUCACUCACAUACUUCACUCACUCAACUCACUCGGAGAGGGGGCAUGCUAGAGUAUUCAAACCUUACUUCUGAUUAAGCAGCAUCACUGGCAGAUUUGCCUUGAUAAAUAUAAGCAUCUCAGCAUUUUUAGGAGUCAACCUGUUCCUCUUCUCAUUCUAAAAUAUGUCCUGCUGUGCUGAAAAGUCGCUCGCUAUCUACACUUGUACAAGGUGCGGAGAGGACGACUCGUGCUGCUUAAUAAACUGUGCAGUUAGGCUCAGCAUAGACACAGGACAGACACUCGGAACUCCAAAUGUCACUCGUGAAGCUAACUGCCCUGAUGUUGUCCUUCAUAAGGCUCUCGAUGUGCGUGUAGACAUUUCGGUAUAAUUCCGGCAGACAAACAUCAGUUAGGUAUUUUCGGCCAGGCAGCGUAUAGCGUGGAUCCAAGCAGGAUACAAGGCGUUUGAACCCGGCGUCUUCCACAGCAGACAGCGGCUGCUGAUCAAUCAUAUGAAUUCCAUUACCUUUGCAUUUAAUUCCUUUCGUCUCUUGUUGUCAAUGCUCUAUGGUUGCUGUCGUUUUAAUGUCUCUGUUACGGUCAGCUGAGUGAGUGGCGUUUGGGAAGAGGUUGCACGCUCUUUGUCUUUAUCUGCCUUAACGCUCGCCAACUUCGUAAACUCCUCAAAUUCCUUGAUGUGACAAGCUUUCAAAUGCCGUAUGAGGUUCGUGGUGUUGAAACCCCUUUGACGCGUUCCUCCACGGGAACUACUUUUGAGCAGACGUUGCAAACUGCACAUUUAUUAUCUUUUUCCGACACCUUGUAAUAUUGCCAGACCGGUGAAGCCAUUUUGUCUCAGUGGUUUCACCCACCCGCCACCGAAGAUGGGGGCCAAUGAAAUUUAAUAACAUGGAGAGACAGCCAAUCACAAGCUUUUCAAAAACAAAAUCUGAUCGGCCGUUUGAGAUAUGGAUCGGCUCCGAUCAGAUCGGAGCAUCUCUAGUUGGAAGUAACCCAGACCUUUAAUAAGUCAAGUCAUAAGACCGUAGAGACCUGUGAAAAUACCUCACUUUCAUCAGUCAUCUCUAAAUCAGACACAAUCACAUCAAGUUCACAAUAGGAAAGUCAGUGAUCAUGCCUACGGUGUGUGUGUGUAUGUAUGUAUGUGUGUGUAUAUAUAUAUGUAUGUAUGUGUAUGUAUAUGUGUGUGUAUAUAUGUAUAUGUGUAUAUAUGUGUGUGUAUAUAUGUAUAUGUGUAUAUAUAUGUGUGUAUAUAUGUAUGUAUAUAUAUGUGUGUAUAUAUGUAUGUAUAUAUAUGUGUAUAUAUAUGUAUGUAUAUAUAUGUAUCAUUGCGUUUGUGUAUAGACUUUUUGUGGAGUCCUGUGGCGAGAGAAAUUUACGUCACGUUAGGUGUGGUAACCCACCAAAAAAUUAGAGGCACAGAUUUUGUUUGUAUUGCCCGCUCAGCAAACACUAAAGCUAAAUCUUCCUUAAAGCUGUUCACCCUUGUAUGAAAUUAUUUUAGAAUGGCCUGUAGCCCGUAGGGAAAUUAACAUGUAGCAAGUUGUCACAGAACAGGUAGUACUGGUAAAAUGAUUUGUGUUUAGGUCCAGGGGAUUUAAUUACCACUGAGCCCUCUGGCUGCCUCAGCUACAAAGCAGGCUAUCUGAUGUGUGAAACACCAUGCACUGUCCAGAACAAACAAAGGAUUUGAGACCUUGCAUGGAGUUCAGUUCACUUAGGUGAACAUACAGAGGCAGACAAUAAACAAACACACCCAUAUUUUUGUCCAAACAAUCAAAAAAAUGAUUCAAGCUCUUCUUAUAACGUGACACAUUUGAAAUACUGUUUAAUUAUAUCAAUUUCAAAAAAACAUUCACCUUUUAAUGGAUAAAACAAAAAAAGAUAUACUUUAAUUUAUUAUACAAAUUUAGAUGGGGUGUAUUAUCAACUCAUUAAAAAUGAGUUUGUGCAUGUCCCGGAUCACGCGCUCUGAUGUCUUUCCGCUUUUUUCCGUGACUGCGAGCGGCUUGCAUGAGAAGAAACCUUCUCAAUAUCAACCUGACCGCAGGCCAAGGUCCUGUUGUGCCAAGUCCCAAUUUACCCUUGUUGAGUCUUUGUGUGUUAUUUCUCAACAAAUCUGAAAAUCCAUAGCUAUGAUAGUUUUCUAGAUUGUUUUAUGCAAUAUUAUACUUCCAUUAGCAAUGUAAUUAUGCAUAUGCAGGAAAUAUUUACUUGUAUACUCUUCAGUCCAUUCAUUGGUAAGUAACUUUAAUUUGUUAGAAUGUAGCUCGCUUUCAAUUAAGGCUUCCAUUCUGCAAUAAUUGUGCAAUGUGGAACGGCUUUAAUAAUUUAGCUGAUAUUGCUUGGAAUUUGCAGGCUAGCUAACGGUUACGUUAGCUGACAUGACUAGCAUUAUCGAGCAGACCGGGUACACCCUACUAUAACUACGACGUGGACACAGUGCCAAAGCCUUCCUUGUGAACUUUAUCAGGGUUCAUUCACAUUUCGACCAAUAGAUUUUCCAUGACUUCAAACUAAAUUUCUGUGACCAAAUCAUGAAAAAGUGAGACAAUGAGAAUUUCAAGGCAUAUACAUGUUUACAAUUAUCCACUAUGGAUGGGUAUCGUUUGGGUUUUUCCUGAUACCAGUGCUAAAACAAAUACCAAAUAAUAACAACAACCUAAAAGUGCCUAAACAGUGCAUGAACCAAUACUUUUUAUCUUACAUACAUGAACAAUUUCACCACCAACACUAUUGGUGUGACAGGAGCAUUUCGGCCCGUGUGUGAGAGAGUGUACGUCAGUAUUUCGUGUGUAGGUGUCAGGAUCCCACCAGCUUCAGUCACUCCUCCCACUCGUUCACAGCCCCGAGUUCUACAGAUGCUCACGCAACCUACCCGCUAUGUACCUAAACCCCUUCCGCAUCCGUAACCUGACACUUGGACUAACAAUAUUUUAAUGUCAAUUGUCAAUGUCAAUUUCAUUUAUAUAGCACUUUUAAAGGCCAGUGGCCAGCCAAAGUGCUUUACAGGAUAAAAACAAUCAGCAUCAAUAAAACAAUUCAAGCAAACAGGAAAAAAACAGUAAAAGGCAAACAAAUAAAAGAUCCAACGCAGGUGACUUAACUCAGCCAAAGGCCAAUGUGAACAAGUGGGUCUUAAGGCGUAUUUUAAAAGUAGAAAGGCUUGUCGCCGACCGCACAGAAAACAGCAA
ensembl:lncRNA